CUUAUGAGUUUUCAUCUAGUCCGCCAGCACAUAACGAUCGAUAAUCCAAUUUUUUUUUUUUGUUUGAAAGGACUCAUAAUGCAGUGAGGAUUGCAUAAUCGAUGGGUAAGAUAAGAUUGUUCUGAUCGUGAUCUAUUCUGUUUGGGUCCAAUUCAUUGCGUCGGUAGCAGGAGGACAUUCUGUUGGCUUUUUCGACUCUGGUGAACAGCGGCAGUUCAAUUCAUUCAGCGUUGGUUGGUGGUGGUUCUAGCAGUGGGUCUUCAAAUAAUCUGGUGAAACCAGGGGUGACCCGAUUAAGUCUCGAUGGUUUGGACAGCUUUCCGGAUAAGUCGACCUCCAAAUGCCAGGUCGGAGGUGGCGGUACAUGCAGAUGGUUCUUCCUCUUACUGUGGGGGUUGGCCGCCAUAAGAAGUUACAGAGGCAAAUGAUGACACAAUGUCGGGCGACGGUGCGGGCUGCAAUAGUGGCCUGAUUGGCAACGUUGAAAAUUGUGGCGGUGACUUAGACUUGGAGUAUCCAAUACCUUCUACUAGCCAAAGAACAGAUGUUGGUUCUGAAGUACUAAUGAUCAUUGGGUGUCUGUUACUUCUGGAAGCGAGGAUUAUUCUUUUAAACAUGUGCAAAAACAUUAGAGAAGCUGGAGGAUAAGUCCGAAGUUGUCAGGGUAUACUAAAUUUCCUAUGCAAGAUUAAUUUUUCAGUGGUAUCUUCUGAAUAGUAUGUGAUUCAUAUUGUAGUGCUAAAAAGGUUAUUUGAUGAUUAUUUAGGCAUAGAAGGAAAGUGUUCUCCAUCAAAUAAGUGAGGCAAAGCCAUUGCUUGCUUCACCAGAUAAGAACUCCGAAGCAUUGGCUUUUAUCAUUGAUGAGAAUUCACUCGCUCACACAUGCUUCACCUCUAUCUCAAAAGUCCAAGUCAGUUAGCAACGACAAAGAAGCAAACAAUAACUUGGUCUCAUGUGUGUCAGAGGUUUGCUCAGAUAUAAACAAGCCGAAUGGACAGUUUAUUUUACCCAGCAAUCGAAUGAAUGUGAUGACAUUUAUAUCCUCACGUCCUAAUAGCACAUUUAUAUUCCGUUGAAGUCAGUUAUAAGAGCAACUUUACCAGCCUCGCCAAAAUUCAUUCUACGCUAUUUUAGCUAGCGUGAGAAGCUGAAAAUAGCAAAAUCAGGCCUCCAGCGGACUCGCUAUAUUGUUCGCCAAAAUGGUUUUCGCUACUACGCUCGCCAAAUCUAGGAGAGGAGAGAGAAAUUCGAGACGCUCGCUAUCUCCUCGAACGGGAAAAUUUGUUCAAAUUCAAACCUCUAGAUUGUCCUUAAGGAAGAGAGACUCUCUCACUUGUUCAAAGACUGCACUGCCAUUCAAUGUAUCUGGAACUCCUUCACUAUACCUGGUUAUGUCAGGAUAACUUUCAACAUGGACUGGGGAGGAUGGCUCAUGGCUCAUCUGCAUUGCUCAGCAAACUGUGAACUUGGCUUCCAUUGGAAUACUCUGAAGACGCUGGUUUAUCACAUGUUUUUGAUUCUGGCCAACUCCCUUCUAAUUCAUUCAUCUCUAAUGCUGCUAAUGAAUGGUUCAAUGCUCAGGCCAUAUGGUGAGUUACCUAGAACCUAUUAUGCUUAACCGGAAAAGACCUCCUCCCAGUGAGUAUAACUAGAUGUGGAUGGGCAUGCAUGGCAACUAUGGUAUUUUGUAUUAUAGAUUAGUGCAACAGGGUCUUGGCGAGGAGACUCCUAAUUGCGAGCAGCAGUAAUAAUCGUAUAUGAUGUAUGGUGGAAUUCAGGCGAUGUUGUAUCACCCUCUUAAUUUAGACCUUCUGGCCCUUGUUCUAGUGCUUCUGCUGGUAAAUGUUCCCCCUCUUUUUUUUGUCUGGACCUGCUUCAUGUUGUUAGUGAAACAUACAAAUGGACAGCAGAGUAGAAAUUUACAUUUCAGUGUUGAUGAUCACAGUGGAAUGUUAUAAAUAUAUCUUCAUUGACCCUUUUCUCUC